rnacentral:piRNA from 1 species
UAAAAGUCCUCUUGCAAUUUGCAUCAA